UAAAUCAGUCUUAUAAAAUUACAAAUUCAAGUUCUAAUCUCUGAGCUCACACUACUUAGACAAUAAAUAUAUUUUUGAAUUAAAUAUAUAUAUAUAUAUAUAUAUAUAUAUAAUUGCGGAAAGGAUGAUUUAUUAAUAAUAAUGGCAUGAAUGUCCAUAUUACAACUGUCUUAGGUGAAAUUUAAAUUUUGUCCUUUAAUGUUACAAAUUCAAGCUCUAACAUUUGAGCUCACACCUCUUGCACAAUAAAAAAAAAAUAUUGAUUGGAGACAUUUAACACUAAUUGAAAUUUUAUAAAUGGCCUCUUGAACCUCAUAAGAGCUAAAAUCUAUUUAAUUGAUGUUAUCAAAGAAGAAUAUUUUAUUUAUAAAGAGAUAAAAAACUUCUAUUAAUCACAUGUGAAGGAGGAAAACAUGACUCAAAUUAUCAUGUCAGUUUAUGAUUUCAUCAUCUUUGUUUCUCUAUUUCUUGUUGUAACCAAUCCUGAAAAUUCUUGUGUUACUAACGAUGAUUGUCCAGAGGCGGUUUUCUUUGUAACUUUUAGAUGCAUUAAAAAUAUUUGUGUACGCAUUAGAUAGCAAUAAACAUAUUGUUAGAGUUCAGUACCUUGAAGUUUAUUUUCUUAAUAUACUUAUGUUUCAUAAAAUUUAUGACAAAAUGUUUAUUUUCUUACCAUUUCAAAUUUAGUAAAUAAUAUCUUUUAAACAUUACCAUGUUUAUGAGUUAGGAUUCUCAACUAUUAUUAAAAAAAAAUAGAGAAGCCUAUCACUAUAGUGUUAGUGUAUUGAUUAUCGAUAUAGCAAUUGUACUAAAUCGUUAUUGUGUAGUAUAA